rnacentral:rRNA from 1 species
UACAGAGGUCUCAAGCGUUGUUCGGAUUCAUUGGGCGUAAAGGGUGUGUAGGUGGCGCCGUUAGUCGGGUGUGAAAUUUCGGAGCUUAACUCCGAAACUGCAUUCGAUACUGCGGUGCUUGAGGACUGGAGAGGAGACUGGAAUUCAUGGUGUAGCAGUGAAAUGCGUAGAGAUCAUGAGGAAGACCAGUGGCGAAGGCGGGUCUCUGGGCAAUUCCUGACGCUGAGGCGCGAAAGCGUGGGGAGCAAACGGG